UCGGCACACAGGACAUUGGACACAACUGCUCAGCUAGACCACAUCCUCCCUCCCCUCACAGCGUGCGUAGCGGACCCUGUCAAGGCUCUUCGGUCACACCAGACAGAAAGUCGCAGAGAGAUCACAGUUUGGGAGUUUCCAUGUGUUACUUUUAAACAAGCACUACAAAAUAUCACUUCUAAAGCUCCCUGAUCCUCACGGAGUGCUCGAAUGACUCAGCUGCACAACCAGGCUCUAUCCUGUGAAAGUG